GCCACGUGGUCGGCUCUGCCUGCUGCUCCCGGCGCCGUGGAACAGUUGCCGGUAACCCGCUGCGUUGUGUACACGUAUGGCCUUACAAAUCUCAGAAUACUGAGAUCUCUGUUUUCCGACUGGUGCACGAGAUGGGGUAUGUUGGGGCAGACAGCCAGCUGAGACUCAGAGCGAGAGAUGCCGAAAGUUAAAGCGGUCCUGGUGAUGGAGGAGGGACGCAAGCAAAGAGGGAGAGCACGAUUAGAAUAAGGAUGGGACCAAAGGUUAAGCAAAGACUCAGCGGAAGACCGAAUCAGGCACAGCAGCAGUGAACCAAGGAGCGACUCUUCAUAUCAGAGAUGGAAAAUCAGGUUCAGAAGUAAACUCUGAAUUGCAACCCCCUGAAAAACAAAGCUUCUCUUCCAGUUUCUCCUACGUCAAUAAUGACAGCAUGAAAAAUUUCAGAAGCCAUUGAAUGGGAGUUGACAAUUUUGUAACGUGUAAAGGUGGGCAAGAAUCUCAAGGAUGAUGCAGAUAUAGCAUAUAACAGUACUU
rnacentral:lncRNA from 1 species